rnacentral:rRNA from 1 species
AGAGCGAACGCUGGCGGCAGGCCUAACACAUGCAAGUCGAGCGCUCCGCAAGGGGAGCGGCAGACGGGAGAGUAACACGUGGGAACGUACCCUUCAGUUCGGAACAACCCAGGGAAACUUGGGCUAAUACCGGAUACGUCCGUAAGGAGAAAGAUUUAUCGCUGAAGGAUCGGCCCGCGUCUGAUUAGCUAGUUGGUGAGGUAACGGCUCACCAAGGCGACGAUCAGUAGCUGGUCUGAGAGGAUGAUCAGCCUCACUGGGACUGAGACACGGCCCAGACUCCUACGGGAGGCAGCAGUGGGGAAUAUUGGACAAUGGGCGCAAGCCUGAUCCAGCCAUGCCGCGUGGGUGAUGAAGGCCCUAGGGUUGUAAAGCCCUUUCGGCGGGGAAGAUAAUGACGGUACCCGCAGAAGAAGCCCCGGCUAACUUCGCGCCAGCAGCCGC